GAGAAGAGAGCAUGAGUAUGCAGUUAACUUGAAAUUAGCGGAUGGCAGUUUCAACCUGUCUUUUCUCG
rnacentral:tRNA from 1 species